rnacentral:rRNA from 1 species
UGUGGUGACGAUGGCGAGAAGGAUACACCUGUUCCCAUGUCGAACACAGAAGUUAAGCUUCUUAGCGCCGAGAGUAGUUGGGGGAUCGCUC